GAGGGAAAGGUGAAAAGUACCCCUGUUAGGGGAGUGAAAUAGUUACUGAAACCGUAUGCUUACAAACAGUCGGAGCCGGUAUAUCCGGUGACGGCGUGCCUAUUGAAGAAUGACCCAGUGAGUUCGUUGUGUGUGGCAAGGUUAACCAUGUUUAUUGGGGAGCCGAAGCGAAAGCGAGUCUGAAUAGGGCGAUUUGAGUCACAUGCACGAGACCCGAAACCAGGUGAUCCAGCCAUGGGCAGGGCGAAAUCAUGAGAAAUCAUGACGGAGGCCCGAACUCUUUAAUGUUACAAAAUUAUGAGAUGACCCGUGGUUAGCGGUAACAUGCCAAACGAACUUGGUAAUAGCUGGUUCUCCCCGAAAUAGUUUUAGGACUAGCGUUGCAAUUUAAUAUAUGGGGGUAGAGCACUGAUUGGAUUUGGGGCUCGAAAGAGUACCCAUUCCAGUUAAACUCCGAAUACCGUAUUGUAUAUUGCAGCAGUUAGAGUCAGGGAUCUAAGUUCCUGUGCUCUAGAGGGAAACAGCCCAGAUCGUCAGAUAAGGACCCCAAAUUUUACCUUAGUGGGAAAGGAAGUGAGAUUUCUCAGACAGCUAGGAGGUUGGCUUAGAGGCAGCCAUCCUUUAAAAAAUGCGUAAAAGCUUACUAGUCAAGAGAUUUUGCACUUAAAAUGUAACGGGGCUGAAGGUAAAUUCCGAAGCUGCGAAUUUAUACAUACUUCGGUAUGUAUGGGUGGUAGGGGAGCGUUCUAUACAUGACCGACUUAGCAGUCGGUAAUUAGCUGUGAAGGUGGCCCGUAAGGAGCUGCUGGAGCGUAUAGAAGUGAGAAUGCUGGGAUGAGUAACGUAAAGCAGGUGAAAACCCUGCUCGCUGAAUGUCUAAGGUUUCCAUGGCUAUGUCAGUCAACCAUGGGUUAGUCGGUCCUAAGUCGAGGCUGAAAAGCGUAGACGAUGGCUAACAGGUUAAUAUUCCUGUACUACUAACAUUUGAAAUGGAGUGAGAGGAUUGAAUACGCAAGCCCCUAAUUGGUUUGGGGUGUAAGCAACAAGAGAGCUCUUUUAGGAAAAUCCGGAAGAGUGUUUCUACUUCGGUGGAUGAACACGAGUUGCAAUGCAAAGGUGACCUUCGGGAAACCGAUUUGUACUAUUUAAUUCUCCAGGAAAAUCUUCUAUCAAUAAUUACUUCGGUAAUUAUAAAAAUGUUUGUAACCGUACUGCAAACCGACACUGGUGGACAAGUGUAAAUGCACUAAAGCGUACGAGUGAUACAUUGUUAAGGAAUUCGGCAAAUUGACCCCGUAAGUUCGCAAUAAGGGGGACUCUCCAUCAUAAGUUUAAUUAUUUGUGGUGAUGAGAGUGGCACAGAAUAGGGAAGAACGACUAGUUACCAAAACUACAGGCGCUUGCAAACUCGUAAGAGGAUGUAUAAGUGCUGACACCUGCCCAAUGCCAGAAGGUUAAGGUGAUUCAUUAGCUCUCUGCUGGGUGCACUUCGGUGCCCUAGUGGUUGCGAAGUGGAAAGCCGAAGCCCUGGUCAAUGGCGGCUGUAACUAUAACGGUCCUAAGGUAGCGUAAUACCUCGUCACUUAAUUAGUGAAUUGCAUGAAAGGCGUAACGAUCCUUCCACUGUCUCGACAACGUGCUCGGUGAAAUUGAAAUGGCUGUGAAGAUGCGGCCUACCUAUACCAGGACAAAAAGACCCCGUGGAGCUUUACUUCAGCUUUGCAUUGAGAUAAGGUCUCGGAUGUAUAGAAUAUGUGGGAGACUAUGAAGCAGUUUCGUCAGGAAUUGUGGAGUCGACAGUGUAAUACCACUCUUUUGGUAUUUUAUUUCUAACAGUAUCCAUUAUCUGGAUUCUAGACAGUGCAUGGUAGGAAGUUUGACUGGGGCGGUUGCUUGCUAAAGAGUACCGCAAGCGCACAAAGGUCUCC
rnacentral:rRNA from 1 species